GACGAACGCUGGCGGCGUGCUUAACACAUGCAAGUCGAACGGAAAGGCCCUGCUUUUGUGGGGUGCUCGAGUGGCGAACGGGUGAGUAACACGUGAGUAACCUGCCCUUGACUUUGGGAUAACUUCAGGAAACUGGGGCUAAUACCGGAUAGGAGCUCCUGCUGCAUGGUGGGGGUUGGAGAGUUUCGGCGGUUGGGGCUGGACUCGCGGCUUAUCCGCUUGUUGGGUGGGUAGUGGCUUACCAAGGCUUUGACGGGUAGCCCGCCUGGGAGGGUGAACGGGCACCAUGGGACUGAGAUACGGCGCAGACGCCUACGGGAGGCAGCGGUGGGGAAUCUUGCACAAUGGGCCGACGCCUGAUGCAGCAACGUCGCGUGCGGGAUGACGUCCUUCUGGUUGUAAACCGCUUUCGCCUGUGACGAAGCGUGCGUGACGGUACUGGGUAAAGAAGCACCGGCUAACUACGUG
rnacentral:rRNA from 1 species